CCUUAUCCUCUUUCCCUACCCAACAAAACAAUACAAAAAUGAGAAAUAAAAAUUCAGCAGGAGUCAGAAGCUCAAUCUUUAUCUUCUCGGCUUCAACAUAGAACAUAAAGAGGUAUGGUCCUAAUUCCAUAUACACAUGGUAGGUAUCACACCAUCUUCCUCAUCCGACAUGACGCUUAUAUCAGCAAGCGAAUCCAGAAGCUUCUGGAAGACGUCAAGGUGGCACCGAAGAUGCUCCUCCAGACAAAAAGGACAACACGUGUCACCAUUAAUCGGACGCCAUGUGGACAUGCGACACAAUCUGGGGCAGACCGGCAGCUGCAGUACUAAUUCUCCUGCAUGGGCAAAUAACGGCGCGCCACGUGUACCACUAUCCUGAUCACAGCAGAGGAGACCAAGAGGAUAUUCCCCUUGGUCGGACAGCUGGCACCUGGUAGCAGCUGGCAAGGUCUCUCCUCCUUUCUUCACCCUUCGGCUAUAAAUAGGACCCUUCAUCAUUCAGGUUAAACAUUCUGCUCUCCUUACAUUUCAGCUACAACACACACUAUUUUCUCCUCAGAACAGUACUUAUUCUCACGCCGGAGGGUGGUCACAAGGAGAACCCCCCUAUUCUCCUCCUUGUGGCGAGUCACCGGUGUUCUGUUUUGCAGGAUUCCCAGUCAUUGGCGAGUAGAGAAGGAGAUUGAACCCCACGUACGAGACGACCCAGCUGGUUAGCCCUAGUGUUAACCAGUAUUUCAUCAGAACACUUGGUACUAGAGAUGGGCAAAUAGGGUUUUUUUAUACCCGGAAUCAGUUCCCAAUCUUAAAAACUUCUUACCAUUCUUCAUCUCAAUUUAACCCAGGUUAACUUGAUUGAGAUUUAACCCAGAUUAAAUAAUUUUUUAUAUGCUUUAACACCCCAUUGGUAUAACAAAUAUCAUUUAAGCUCAUCUCAUCUUAAAACCUGCAUAAUAAUAGAGAUAAGGUUCAAAUAUAUAGUCUUCUUGUUAGUGUAUUUUGGGAUGUCCGUCGUUGUUCAAAUAGGCUAGUUUGUAAUCGUGUGAAAUGAUUAGAUUAAUUGUUUACAAUGUAAACAAACAAGCUUAAUGUUUAAAGUGGUUAGCCAUUAUAUGUAUAUAGUUAACGAAGGAAGAUGAAUUUUUUAAUAACAUAUUUUUAUUUUUUUCCCUUUUUAAUACCAUAUACUUCCUUUAUCAUUUGGUUAGUCAUAAUGUUUAGGCACCCGUAUAAAUAGUCUAAUUAUUUGCAUUUUUUAUUAACUUUAGUUUCAAACCUUUGAUUGUCAGAUGUUUCUAGAGUGUGUGUAGGCGGAGAGGAGAUCAUUGAUGGUAAUGGGCCAGGUUCAGGCCAAGUAUUGUUAAUCUCAUACACAUACCGAUUGUAAAUCAAUGUUCCAUACUCAACCCAAUACUCGUCGGUUAUUUAUCAGAUCAAGACUCUGUCUUUAAGUUUCCACGACACGAACUUCUUGACAUUGAGCUGGAGCUCAACUAUGGGAGACAUGGAUUCUCAUGUGGCUUGGGUGGGACCCAAUAGAGCUGGUAAGAGUAGUCUUUUGAAGUUGAUGAUAGGGGGGUUGGUUCCUCUUGAAGGCAUCGUGAAGCGGCACAACCACUUGAAGAAGGCCAAUACUACCAACAUUCGGCUGAUAAGCUUGACUUGGUGCUUCCAUAUCUGCCUUGUUUCUUGUUGUUUUCCUUUCAAAUUGUUUUAUCUUAUAAUAUCAAGAUCACUAAUUUAUGUUCAAUUGGCUGUAGUUCUGCUUUUAAAGAUGGAAAAUUAUGUGAUACAUAUUAUUUGAAUGCUUCUAGCUAGAGAUAUGGUGAAUCUUUUGUAAAGGUUAGAAAUUUUUCAAAGCUAAUUAGCUUAA